rnacentral:rRNA from 1 species
UACAGAGGGGGCAAGCGUUAUUCGGAAUUAUUGGGCGUAAAGGGCGCGUAGGCGCUUCGCAAGUGGAAGGUGAAAUCCCUCGGCUUAACCGAGGAACUGCCCUCCAAACUGCUUCGCUUGAGACCGGGAGAGGUGAGUGGAAUUCCCAGUGUAGCGGUGAAAUGCGUAGAUAUUGGGAGGAACACCAGUGGCGAAGGCGGCUCACUGGACCGGUACUGACGCUGAUGCGCGAAAGCGUGGGGAGCAAACGGGG